UCAUGGCUCAGGAUGAACGCUAGCGGCAGGCCUAACACAUGCAAGUCGAGGGGUAGAGUUAGCUUGCUAACUUGAGACCGGCGCACGGGUGCGUAACGCGUAUGCAAUCUACCUUGUACUGAGGGAUAGCCCAGAGAAAUUUGGAUUAAUACCUCAUAGUAUUAUUGAGUGGCAUCAUUUAAUAAUUAAAGUUCCAACGGUACAAGAUGAGCAUGCGUCCCAUUAGUUAGUUGGUAAGGUAACGGCUUACCAAGACUAUGAUGGGUAGGGGUCCUGAGAGGGAGAUCCCCCACACUGGUACUGAGACACGGACCAGACUCCUACGGGAGGCAGCAGUGAGGAAUAUUGGACAAUGGGCGCAAGCCUGAUCCAGCCAUGCCGCGUGCAGGAAGACGGUCCUAUGGAUUGUAAACUGCUUUUAUACAGGAAGAAACACUCCCUCGUGAGGGAGCUUGACGGUACUGUAGGAAUAAGGAUCGGCUAACUCCGUG
rnacentral:rRNA from 1 species